AUUGCUUUUUGGUCUUUUGGUUAAGAUCAAGCACGGUAUUUAUUCUUAUCAAUUUGAUAUCUUAUAUGUUCUAUAAAUGAAAAUGUUAUAUCAAGCAGUUUUUUUUUUUGAACAGGGAACUGAAAUAGGGGUUUGCUCCUAUCAACCUGAUAUUGUAGUAUCUUCAGGAAUAGUACUUUUGCU